rnacentral:sRNA from 1 species
AGACAAUGUUUGCAACCUCCUUUAAAGUAGGUUCUUGUGUUUAACAUAUGGCAUAAAACACAAUAUAAAAAUAAGGACAGUCUGUAUUUAUACCAAGUAUUUCACAUGUGAAUUAGAAAAAAAAAAAGUGAAUAUCUGUAUUCUUCUAUUGAUAUGGCCACAUAAAAUAUUCUUUUUAAGAUUCUUAUCCCCACCUGCCCCUCUGAAAGUGGCCAUCCUCAAUGUAUUUUAAUUUAAUUAUUAAAAAAAUAUUGUGG